rnacentral:rRNA from 1 species
UUAAGCGACUAAGCGUACACGGUGGAUGCCCUGGCAGUCAGAGGCGAUGAAGGACGUGCUAAUCUGCGAUAAGCGUCGGUAAGGUGAUAUGAACCGUUAUAACCGGCGAUUUCCGAAUGGGGAAACCCAGUGUGUUUCGACACACUAUCAUUAACUGAAUCCAUAGGUUAAUGAGGCGAACCGGGGGAACUGAAACAUCUAAGUACCCCGAGGAAAAGAAAUCAACCGAGAUUCCCCCAGUAGCGGCGAGCGAACGGGGAGCAGCCCAGAGCCUGAAUCAGUGUGUGUGUUAGUGGAAGCGUCUGGAAAGGCGCGCGAUACAGGGUGACAGCCCCGUACACAAAAAUGCACAUGCUGUGAGCUCGAUGAGUAGGGCGGGACACGUGGUAUCCUGUCUGAAUAUGGGGGGACCAUCCUCCAAGGCUAAAUACUCCUGACUGACCGAUAGUGAACCAGUACCGUGAGGGAAAGGCGAAAAGAACCCCGGCGAGGGGAGUGAAAAAGAACCUGAAACCGUGUACGUACAAGCAGUGGGAGCACGCUUAGGCGUGUGACUGCGUACCUUUUGUAUAAUGGGUCAGCGACUUAUAUUCUGUAGCAAGGUUAACCGAAUAGGGGAGCCGAAGGGAAACCGAGUCUUAACUGGGCGUUAAGUUGCAGGGUAUAGACCCGAAACCCGGUGAUCUAGCCAUGGGCAGGUUGAAGGUUGGGUAACACUAACUGGAGGACCGAACCGACUAAUGUUGAAAAAUUAGCGGAUGACUUGUGGCUGGGGGUGAAAGGCCAAUCAAACCGGGAGAUAGCUGGUUCUCCCCGAAAGCUAUUUAGGUAGCGCCUCGUGAAUUCAUCUCCGGGGGUAGAGCACUGUUUCGGCAAGGGGGUCAUCCCGACUUACCAACCCGAUGCAAACUGCGAAUACCGGAGAAUGUUAUCACGGGAGACACACGGCGGGUGCUAACGUCCGUCGUGAAGAGGGAAACAACCCAGACCGCCAGCUAAGGUCCCAAAGUCAUGGUUAAGUGGGAAACGAUGUGGGAAGGCCCAGACAGCCAGGAUGUUGGCUUAGAAGCAGCCAUCAUUUAAAGAAAGCGUAAUAGCUCACUGGUCGAGUCGGCCUGCGCGGAAGAUGUAACGGGGCUAAACCAUGCACCGAAGCUGCGGCAGCGACGCUGAUGCGUUGUUGGGUAGGGGAGCGUUCUGUAAGCCUGCGAAGGUGUGCUGUGAGGCAUGCUGGAGGUAUCAGAAGUGCGAAUGCUGACAUAAGUAACGAUAAAGCGGGUGAAAAGCCCGCUCGCCGGAAGACCAAGGGUUCCUGUCCAACGUUAAUCGGGGCAGGGUGAGUCGACCCCUAAGGCGAGGCCGAAAGGCGUAGUCGAUGGGAAACAGGUUAAUAUUCCUGUACUUGGUGUUACUGCGAAGGGGGGACGGAGAAGGCUAUGUUGGCCGGGCGACGGUUGUCCCGGUUUAAGCGUGUAGGCUGGUUUUCCAGGCAAAUCCGGAAAAUCAAGGCUGAGGCGUGAUGACGAGGCACUACGGUGCUGAAGCAACAAAUGCCCUGCUUCCAGGAAAAGCCUCUAAGCAUCAGGUAACAUCAAAUCGUACCCCAAACCGACACAGGUGGUCAGGUAGAGAAUACCAAGGCGCUUGAGAGAACUCGGGUGAAGGAACUAGGCAAAAUGGUGCCGUAACUUCGGGAGAAGGCACGCUGAUAUGUAGGUGAAGUCCCUUGCGGAUGGAGCUGAAAUCAGUCGAAGAUACCAGCUGGCUGCAACUGUUUAUUAAAAACACAGCACUGUGCAAACACGAAAGUGGACGUAUACGGUGUGACGCCUGCCCGGUGCCGGAAGGUUAAUUGAUGGGGUCAGCGCAAGCGAAGCUCUUGAUCGAAGCCCCGGUAAACGGCGGCCGUAACUAUAACGGUCCUAAGGUAGCGAAAUUCCUUGUCGGGUAAGUUCCGACCUGCACGAAUGGCGUAAUGAUGGCCAGGCUGUCUCCACCCGAGACUCAGUGAAAUUGAACUCGCUGUGAAGAUGCAGUGUACCCGCGGCAAGACGGAAAGACCCCGUGAACCUUUACUAUAGCUUGACACUGAACAUUGAGCCUUGAUGUGUAGGAUAGGUGGGAGGCUUUGAAGUGUGGACGCCAGUCUGCAUGGAGCCGACCUUGAAAUACCACCCUUUAAUGUUUGAUGUUCUAACGUGGACCCGUGAUCCGGGUUGCGGACAGUGUCUGGUGGGUAGUUUGACUGGGGCGGUCUCCUCCUAAAGAGUAACGGAGGAGCACGAAGGUUGGCUAAUCCUGGUCGGACAUCAGGAGGUUAGUGCAAUGGCAUAAGCCAGCUUGACUGCGAGCGUGACGGCGCGAGCAGGUGCGAAAGCAGGUCAUAGUGAUCCGGUGGUUCUGAAUGGAAGGGCCAUCGCUCAACGGAUAAAAGGUACUCCGGGGAUAACAGGCUGAUACCGCCCAAGAGUUCAUAUCGACGGCGGUGUUUGGCACCUCGAUGUCGGCUCAUCACAUCCUGGGGCUGAAGUAGGUCCCAAGGGUAUGGCUGUUCGCCAUUUAAAGUGGUACGCGAGCUGGGUUUAGAACGUCGUGAGACAGUUCGGUCCCUAUCUGCCGUGGGCGCUGGAGAACUGAGGGGGGCUGCUCCUAGUACGAGAGGACCGGAGUGGACGCAUCACUGGUGUUCGGGUUGUCAUGCCAAUGGCACUGCCCGGUAGCUAAAUGCGGAAGAGAUAAGUGCUGAAAGCAUCUAAGCACGAAACUUGCCCCGAGAUGAGUUCUCCCUGACUCCUUGAGAGUCCUGAAGGAACGUUGAAGACGACGACGUUGAUAGGCCGGGUGUGUAAGCGCAGCGAUGCGUUGAGCUAACCGGUACUAAUGAACCGUGAGGCUUAACCUU